UCGCGCUCGACAAGACGACGACAUUGUCCAGAAACGUAAAUGUUCUCGUUGUCACUGCGCUAAAUUAAUUCCAAAUCGAGAAUGUUAUUUAUUUCGAUUGAGCCAACAGGGCCGCAAAGAUUUAAGCCCAUCUUUAUGCGGUAGUAAGCAGCUCGCACAAA